AUUGAACGCUGGCGGCAGGCCUAACACAUGCAAGUAGAACGAGUGGCGGACGGGGGAGUAACGUCUGGGAAACUGCCCGAUGGAGGGGGAUAACUACUGGAAACGGUAGCUAAUACCGCAUACCAUCGGAUGUGCCCAGAGGGGAUUAGCUAGUAGGUGGGGUAACGGCUCACCUAGGCGACGAUCCCUAGCUGGUCUGAGAGGAGGAACAGCCACACUGGAACUGAGACACGUUCAGGACUCCUACGGUAGGCAGCAGUGGGGAAUAUUGCACAAUGGGCUCAAGCCUGAUGCAUCCAGGCCGCGUGAAUGAUGAAGGCCUUCGGGUUGUAAAGUACUUUCAGCGAGGAAGCGUUACUCGCAGAAGAAGCACCGGCUAACUCCGUGUCAGCCGCCGCGGUAAUUC
rnacentral:rRNA from 1 species